UACGGAGGGUGCAAGCGUUAUCCGGAUUCACUGGGUUUAAAGGGUGCGUAGGCGGGCAGGUAAGUCAGUGGUGAAAUCUCCGAGCUUAACUCGGAAACUGCCGUUGAUACUAUCUGUCUUGAAUACCGUGGAGGUGAGCGGAAUAUGUCAUGUAGCGGUGAAAUGCUUAGAUAUGACAUAGAACACCAAUUGCGAAGGCAGCUCACUACACGAGCAUUGACUCUGAGGCACGAAAGCGUGGGGAUCAAACAGG
rnacentral:rRNA from 1 species